rnacentral:snoRNA from 1 species
CUGCAGUCAGUUAAGCCAAUCAAGUCUCUUUCCUCACAGGAGCCUGGUGUGCAGUGGACACCGACAGCAGCCUCCUUAGGAGUGUACGCAGCCUGUUGCCUAUAUGGAUGGCUGUAAGGGACCUUGGAGACAUUU